rnacentral:rRNA from 1 species
CGCCUCCUGUUCCUGAACCAUAGGAGGUCCCGCCUGCCCUGUGACUAGUAGUUUAACGGCCGCGGUAUUUUAACCGUGCAAAGGUAGCGCAAUCAAUUGUCUUUUAAAUGAAGACCUGUAUGAAUGGCAUCACGAGGGUUUAGCUGUCUCUUCUUUCCAGUCAGUGAAACUGAUCUCCCCGUGCAGAAGCGGGCAUUUUUACACAAGACGAGAAGACCCUAUGGAGCUUUAGGCUCCCAGCACCCGCGAGCAAGACAGCAGAACCCUGUCACCUAAAGCGAAGUAUGACCCGGGAACCUUCGGUUGGGGCGACCACGGGAGACAGAGUAGCUCCCGAGCGGAUUGGGCCACGCCCAAAGUCUAGAGGGACACCUCCAGAUCGCAGCACAUCUGACCGAUAAUGAUCCGGCCUCGGCCGAUCAGCGAACCAAGUUACCCUAGGGAUAACAGCGCAAUCCCCUCCCAGAGUCCCUAUCGACGAGGGGGUUUACGACCUCGAUGUUGGAUCAGGACAUCCUAAUGGUGCAGAAGCUAUUAAGGGUUCGUUUGUUCAACGAUUAAAGUCCU